UACAGAUCUUUUAGUUUAUCAAAUUAGGAAAUAAAUGAAAUCUGUUUAACACAAAAAUUUGACUCUUAAGUUAAACUGAAGUGAAAUAAAAUAUGUUGAUGUAAAACAUCAAUCAUGUACAACAUUGUAUGGCAUAAGUAAUUGUCUUAAUUUUUCAAACAGGUGUAACCAAAUAAAAGUCUAUUGCUUAGAAACUUACUAGAUACCUUCCCAAAUCAGCAACUUGGAAAGGAGUUCAGAUUCCUUUUUACCUCUUUAUUAUUGCUACUUAAUGUCUCCUUAACUGCUUAGGGUACCAUAAGGAUCUUCAAAGAAUGGAUCUUCAUGGAAGUUCUGACCAAAAUUUUACAGCAAGGAACUGAAUUUGACAUGCUUGCAGAAACUGUGUUAGCAGAUAGAUAU